AGGGCGCUACGCUUAUUCGGCCUGACAUUGAACACAGAUAAAAAAGGCGCAGGCGACUGCGCCUUUUUU
rnacentral:sRNA from 1 species